rnacentral:rRNA from 1 species
AUAAUGGGUCAGCGACUUAUAUUCUGUAGCAAGGUUAACCGAAUAGGGGAGCCGAAGGGAAACCGAGUCUUAACUGGGCGUUAAGUUGCAGGGUAUAGACCCGAAACCCGGUGAUCUAGCCAUGGGCAGGUUGAAGGUUGGGUAACACUAACUGGAGGACCGAACCGACUAAUGUUGAAAAAUUAGCGGAUGACUUGUGGCUGGGGGUGAAAGGCCAAUCAAACCGGGAGAUAGCUGGUUCUCCCCGAAAGCUAUUUAGGUAGCGCCUCGUGAAUUCAUCUCCGGGGGUAGAGCACUGUUUCGGCAAGGGGGUCAUCCCGACUUACCAACCCGAUGCAAACUGCGAAUACCGGAGAAUGUUAUCACGGGAGACACACGGCGGGUGCUAACGUCCGUCGUGAAGAGGGAAACAACCCAGACCGCCAGCUAAGGUCCCAAAGUCAUGGUUAAGUGGGAAACGAUGUGGGAAGGCCCAGACAGCCAGGAUGUUGGCUUAGAAGCAGCCAUCAUUUAAAGAAAGCGUAAUAGCUCACUGGUCGAGUCGGCCUGCGCGGAAGAUGUAACGGGGCUAAACCAUGCACCGAAGCUGCGGCAGCGACGCUGAUGCGUUGUUGGGUAGGGGAGCGUUCUGUAAGCCUGUGAAGGUGUGCUGUGAGGCAUGCUGGAGGUAUCAGAAGUGCGAAUGCUGACAUAAGUAACGAUAAAGCGGGUGAAAAGCCCGCUCGCCGGAAGACCAAGGGUUCCUGUCCAACGUUAAUCGGGGCAGGGUGAGUCGACCCCUAAGGCGAGGCCGAAAGGCGUAGUCGAUGGGAAACAGGUUAAUAUUCCUGUACUUGGUGUUACUGCGAAGGGGGGACGGAGAAGGCUAUGUUGGCCGGGCGACGGUUGUCCCGGUUUAAGCGUGUAGGCUGGUUUUCCAGGCAAAUCCGGAAAAUCAAGGCUGAGGCGUGAUGACGAGGCACUACGGUGCUGAAGCAACAAAUGCCCUGCUUCCAGGAAAAGCCUCUAAGCAUCAGGUAACAUCAAAUCGUACCCCAAACCGACACAGGUGGUCAGGUAGAGAAUACCAAGGCGCUUGAGAGAACUCGGGUGAAGGAACUAGGCAAAAUGGUGCCGUAACUUCGGGAGAAGGCACGCUGAUAUGUAGGUGAAGUCCCUCGCGGAUGGAGCUGAAAUCAGUCGAAGAUACCAGCUGGCUGCAACUGUUUAUUAAAAACACAGCACUGUGCAAACACGAAAGUGGACGUAUACGGUGUGACGCCUGCCCGGUGCCGGAAGGUUAAUUGAUGGGGUCAGCGCAAGCGAAGCUCUUGAUCGAAGCCCCGGUAAACGGCGGCCGUAACUAUAACGGUCCUAAGGUAGCGAAAUUCCUUGUCGGGUAAGUUCCGACCUGCACGAAUGGCGUAAUGAUGGCCAGGCUGUCUCCACCCGAGACUCAGUGAAAUUGAACUCGCUGUGAAGAUGCAGUGUACCCGCGGCAAGACGGAAAGACCCCGUGAACCUUUACUAUAGCUUGACACUGAACAUUGAGCCUUGAUGUGUAGGAUAGGUGGGAGGCUUUGAAGUGUGGACGCCAGUCUGCAUGGAGCCGGCCUUGAAAUACCACCCUUUAAUGUUUGAUGUUCUAACGUUGACCCGUGAUCCGGGUUGCGGACAGUGUCUGGUGGGUAGUUUGACUGGGGCGGUCUCCUCCUAAAGAGUAACGGAGGAGCACGAAGGUUGGCUAAUCCUGGUCGGACAUCAGGAGGUUAGUGCAAUGGCAUAAGCCAGCUUGACUGCGAGCGUGACGGCGCGAGCAGGUGCGAAAGCAGGUCAUAGUGAUCCGGUGGUUCUGAAUGGAAGGGCCAUCGCUCAACGGAUAAAAGGUACUCCGGGGAUAACAGGCUGAUACCGCCCAAGAGUUCAUAU